GAUGAACGCUGACAGAAUGCUUAACACAUGCAGGUCGAUGGGGAAGUGGUGCUUGCCCCAUGGCAACCAUGGCGGACGGGUGAGUAACGCGUAAGGGACUUACCUGCAGGACUGGGAUAACAGGGGGAAACUCCUGACAAGACCGGAUAAUGUCAUGGAGCUGCAUGGCUUUAUGAUGAAAGGAGACGCCUGCGGAGAGCCUUGCGUCCUAUUAGCUAGUUGGUGAGGUAAUGGCUCACCAAGGCGAAGAUAGGUAGCCGGCCUGAGAGGGUGGACGGCCACAAGGGGACUGAGAUACGGCCCUUACUCCUACGGGAGGCAGCAGUGGGGAAUAUUGGACAAUGGGGGCAACCCUGAUCCAGAAAUUCUGUGUGCACGAAGAAGGUUUUCGGAUUGUAAAGUGCUUUCAGCAGGGAAGUAGUAAGUGACGGUACCUGCAGAAGAAGCGACGGCUAAAUACGUG
rnacentral:rRNA from 1 species